rnacentral:rRNA from 1 species
GCAAGUCGAGGGGUAACAGGUAGCUUGCUAUGCUGACGACCGGCGCACGGGUGCGUAACGCGUAUAGAACCUACCUUUUACAGAGGGAUAGCCUUUAGAAAUGAAGAUUAAUACCUCAUAGUAUUGCAGAUUGGCAUCGAUCAGCAAUUAAAGAUUUAUCGGUAAAAGAUGGCUAUGCGUCCUAUUAGCUAGAUGGUAAGGUAACGGCUUACCAUGGCAACGAUAGGUAGGGGCCCUGAGAGGGGGAUC